GCUGCUUCGACGGAGACGGAGACACCUAUAGCAACUUUUAUGGUUCUUUCGUCCCCCCAGAGUGGCACCGUCGGCAGGAAUACGAAGCCGGACCCUCGACAGUAUACCAGAUCGGAGUGGUCCUGUUCGCCAUGCUCCAAGGCGUGGCAUCUAGCGGGCACCUGUCCUUUCAGAAGCUGAAGAACAGUUGGUGGCUUUCCGAAUAUUGCAAAGAUUUCUACAAGGCGUGCAUGCAUGUGAAUCCGGAUCAGCGGUUCACCCUGGAGCAGAUGAGGAAUCACCCGUGGCUGAGAUAGUAUCACACUACACCCACACACACACA